UAGGUGUGUAUGUGUGUGUCGGAAGAUAAAGCGAAGAGCUCUGUAGUCAGAGAUUUAUUACAGACUAGUUGACCCGCCAGACUUCGUAGUGCCUCAGUCGAUAAAUAAAAGACCUAAACUUUUGUCUAUACUUAAUAUUAUAAAGAGGAAAGAUUUGUUUGUUUGUUUGUUUCGAAUAGGCUCCGAAACUACUGGACCGAUUUGAAAAAUUCUUUUUCCAUUAGAAGCCGACAUUGUCCCUGAUGAACAUAGGCUACUUUUUUUUAAUUUUUUUUUAUUUUUAUUUUUUGGUUUCAUGUGUGUUUUAAUGUUUCCGAAGCGAAGCGAGGGCGGGUCGCUAGUAUAAAAUAAACUUAAAACAAAUAAAAAGAAUCCGUCCGACGGGGGGGACAUUAAAAGGAAAAACAAAAUUGUUAUUUUUAUUUAAUUCCGAGUAUUUUCAUAUUUAUCAACCUUUUAAACCUUCUCUGGAUUUCCACAAAUAAUUCAAGACCAAAAUUAACCAAAUCGGUCCAGCCGUUCUCGAGUUUUAGCGAGACUAACGAAAGAUAAAAUUCAAUACAGUUUUACCUUUCUUCUUCUUAUCGGGAGGUUAUUUUGGUUUCAUCAGGUGUGUAGGUGAAUUCGCAGGGCUCAGUGCUUCGCUGAAUCUACCACCGGAUCGGAAUCGCGAUCCACUGAGAAGAUCCGGCGAGAAACUCAGUGGGCUGUGUCUGUGGGUUAAGUUGCACAUCCCUUACUCCGAUCGGUGCUUGGAGUGCCUAAAAGCAUGAGAUUCAACCAAUAGGAUCCGUAAAGACGUAUUCAGGACAACGGCGGCCGUGUGUUGGGCCGUCGUCGGUAUCAGGAGUAAGCUGUCUCCUGAAACAUUUGAAAACCGACACAGCGAGGGUAUUCCUACCAUGGCCACGGCGAGUCCUGGGUAACUUAAGUCAAGAAGACCAUGUCAGCCGGUGUCUUCUCAAUGUCCUCCGCGCCGGUGCUGCCCAGCUCGAACCGGCUGUCUCCAGUCAAGUCUUAACUUCGAAACUAUGAUUGAGAGUCUCUUUGGGACAAGAAAAUACACACACUUGUAUUUAUUGUAAA